rnacentral:rRNA from 1 species
UACGAAGGGGGCUAGCGUUGCUCGGAAUUACUGGGCGUAAAGCGCACGUAGGCGGUCUUUUAAGUCGGGGGUGAAAUCCUGGAGCUCAACUCCAGAACCGCCUUCGAUACUGGAAGACUUGAGUCCGGGAGAGGUGAGUGGAACUGCGAGUGUAGAGGUGAAAUUCGUAGAUAUUCGCAAGAACACCAGUGGCGAAGGCGGCUCACUGGCCCGGUACUGACGCUGAGGUGCGAAAGCGUGGGGAGCAAACAGG